ACGCUCCAGAGUCCUUACCCCUUGGACCUAAAUAUUGAUCUGAGUGGCUAGAAAAGGUGGAAAAGUAAAACUGAAGUAGACGUGGAUUCUUUAGUGAUAUACAAGUUCAUUUCAAACAUAU
rnacentral:snoRNA from 1 species